rnacentral:rRNA from 1 species
GACGAACGCUGGCGGCGUGCUUAACACAUGCAAGUCGAACGGAAAGGCCCUGCUUUUGUGGGGUGCUCGAGUGGCGAACGGGUGAGUAACACGUGAGUAACCUGCCCUUGACUUUGGGAUAACUUCAGGGAACUGGGGCUAAUACCGGAUAGGAGCUCCUGCUGCAUGGUGGGGGUUGGAAAGGUUCGGCGGUUGGGGAUGGACUCGCGGCUUAUCAGCUUGUUGGUGGGGUAGUGGCUUACCAAGGCUUUGACGGGUAGCCGGCCUGAGAGGGUGACCGGCCACAUUGGGACUGAGAUACGGCCCAGACUCCUACGGGAGGCAGCAGUGGGGAAUAUUGCACAAUGGGCGGAAGCCUGAUGCAGCAACGCCGCGUGCGGGAUGACGGCCUUCGGGUUGUAAACCGCUUUCGCCUGUGACGAAGCGUGAGUGACGGUAAUGGGUAAAGAAGCACCGGCUAACUACGUG